rnacentral:misc_RNA from 1 species
GCAAACUUGGUCAUUUAGAGGAAGUAAAAGUCGUAACAAGGUCUCCGUUGGUGAACCAGCGGAGGGAUCAUUACCGAGUUUACAACUCCCAAACCCCAGUGUGAACGUUACCAUUCUGUUGCCUCGGCGGGUUUACUCUCUCUGCCCCGGGUGCGUCGCAGCCCCGGACCAAGGCGCCCGCCGGAGGACCAACUUUGCAAACUCUUUUUUUGUAGGAGAUCCCAUCGCGGAUUCCCCUUUAUUGCUUCUGAGCUUUAUCGGCGCUCCUAGCGGGCGUUUCGAAAAUGAAUCAAAACUUUCAACAACGGAUCUCUUGGUUCUGGCAUCGAUGAAGAACGCAGC